rnacentral:lncRNA from 1 species
GUGUACUCAUGGAAGGAACUGCUGUAUAAAGAGGCCUGGGAGAACAUGGAAAAUGAGACCACAUGAGGUCUUCUUCCUUCACAGGAUUUGGUAUGUUAGCUUAUUACUAAGGAGCCACCUCAUGUCUCAUGGAUUGGACAGGACUCCAGCCUUCACUGAGAGAACUGAGAGGAUAAAUGGACAUCCUAAGGCCCCACAGGAAGGGGCAAGAACCUACAUUCUGGCAAUGUGAAAUUGGAUAUCCAAGAUGGCACCAGGCCCAAGGCUGUCUCAUUACACAAGGAAAUUCUGAGAAGCAUCAUUACCUUCCUAUAUGUUAGGCUCAACUCAGUUCUCCUCCUCAGGCUGGAACUCUCAUAGCAGACUUUGUGUUUGUAAUAUGGGGAGGAUUCUCUCUUAUCAGCAAGGGCAAAUUGUCCUCCAUACUGAGUAACCAUUUAUUCUGUGCCUGUUAAGUACUUCAGUUUCUCUGCUUUUUAAAUAUCAUAUGUCUUAUUUUUAUCUCAUUGCUAGAUCUCUCAUGUAUCAACCAAGUGACACUGUUGCUUCCCAAUCUCCUCACUGAGCUGAGUAUCUGUUGCCUUGGACAAAUAUCUUUGAAAGUAUGACUUCUCUUACAUGAGAAACACAACAUAUAAAGAAUGAGAAGAGCAAAGGAAAAAAAAAGAAAAGCAAGGUAUACUGAUGCAUUUCUGCAAUCACAACACAAGGGAAACUGAGGCAGGGGGAAAAGUGGAAUUUAAGGUCCCUCUGAACUACAUAGCAAGACCUUUUUUAACAUGCUCUCCCUGUGAAAAAAUAAAAGAAGAAAACCUAAAGGUAGUUGCGACAGCCAACCAGAUUCCAUCUUGAGCCUCAACAUCAGCUUAUACCUGUGAAUGGACAAAAUCCUUGAGCUUGGAAAAAACACACAAAACCCCCAUAUGGUGUUUGUCAGUAAACUUGCAGCAGUUACAGGAUGUUGUGUAGCUCACUUAGUGUGUGAAAUUUCCAAGAGCCCCCCCAAUAACCUGGCAUGGUUCUGCCUCUGUAAGAUUCUGCUUAUUCUCCUCUGAGCCCUCCCAAAUGACAGCAUGAUUUAAAAGGAGAAAUCAAACUGCUUCCCAUUGCCAAGGAAACUUUCUGAGCACUAACCUGCCUUAGCCACUGGUUUAAUAAAAGAACUGAAACCUGGAACAGAGGGUGGCACAUCUCCAUUGUUCUAACUAACUCAUCCAUAACAGCUGGAGCCCCCAGCAAGAUGGUCCCAAUGGGUGGACUGGCCUUGGUAUGGUUCCUCCUGUCUUCAGCAGCUAACUAUAAGGGAGGUAACCCCUGAAACUCUCAGGGUUAUAUAAUCUAAUUUCUGACACCAAGGGACUUCAAAGAUGCCUGAGACAAAUUCCAAAUUUUCUGCAGUAUAUCUGGUCUGGUGUACAGGUAAGGAUCU